AGGAGAAAUAUUAUCCCUUUGAGCUGCAGAGCCUUAAUCUACCUUUGAUCAACAGCUUCAGUUUGAUUCAGAAUGGACAGCAGUUUCAGGGGGAAUACCUACCCAGUCCUGCUGGAUAAUUUCUACCUCUCUCUCAAAUAUAUAGAAGGAAUCACUACAUCUUUCAUCAAGACGUCAGAGGACUGCUGUUACUAAAGGAUGGAAGGAGGAAACUUGACAUAUCAGAAGAAAUACAGAAAGUAUUUUUCUGCAUUGACUUAAAGUAAUCGGGGUGAAUCCCUAAUAGAGCUUAUCAGCUAAAAAUGUAAUAU
rnacentral:lncRNA from 1 species